GCCACAGAUGGCUCUGAGUGCUUUGGAAAAUGAGGCUGACCUGGAUUUCCACACUCCUCAAGAGAACAGAAUGCAAGUGACCAGCAGUAACACUUUCUUCUCUUCUUUCCAGAAAAAAAAGAGAAGAGAAGAGAAGAGAAGAGAAGAGAAGAGAAGAGAAGAGAAGAGAAGAGAAGAAAGAAGCACUGACCUAUUAAAAAGGAAGAAAACUGGCUUGUGCUGGAUGGCGCGUCCCCUGAGGUUUGGACACAUCGACUACAGAACACAGAAGAGCAGAGAGCCAGGAAACCCAGGAGUAAGCACAGCUGGAGUCUGUAAAGUUCUCCCUUCUUUGAUUCAGAGAGAAACAAGUAAGCAGUUGCCCUACUGCUCCAGCUGUUCGUUUCUGUUGUCUGGAAUGUAUAAU
rnacentral:lncRNA from 1 species